rnacentral:snRNA from 1 species
GUGCUCACUUUAGCAGCACAUAUACUAAAACUGGAACGAUACAGAGAUGUUUAGCAUGGCCCCUGUGUAAGGAUGACACACAGAUUUGUCAAAUUCGUGAAGAAUCCCAUUUUUUU